rnacentral:rRNA from 1 species
UUUUAUGUACAUGCCUACAACAUAGAAUUAAUGCAUUGGAUCCCAUUAGAACUCCACAGUUAAGGGCGUUCGGGAUAGAGUACCACUGGGAUGGGUGACCUCUCGGGAAGUCCUAGUAUCUUACAUG